CCCUAGCAGCCCCUGUCCUUGCAAAAUGUAAACCCCCCAAAACAUCACCGGAUUUUGAGCUCAAUCCGUCAAGUUUUCUACCUCAAAAACAUCACCAUGUCCCUAAAAUUAUUCUAGGGGAAUAUAGCCCCACCCAUGUAACCUUUUGUUCAAGAUAUUUUUUCUCCUAUUUUUCUUCAUUUAUCUGUUCAAAGAUCAAUAAUUCAAAUUUUGGAUCCCCAAUUUUGUUGAGAUUAUCCCCCCUUCUUUGCUUUUCAAAUAUUCUUUAGGCGUCAAUUUAUUGGUUAUAAAUGAAGCCUAAAUUGUAUUUACUUAAGGGGAAAUGUAGUGAAAAAAAUUCCCAAGUGUUAAAGCUCUUCAUUUGUAAAAUAUCUAUGUUGUACAAGUUUUUCUCAAAGCAAACAAUCAUUUUUCAAUCAUUGCCAUUAGAUGCAGAAGAUAAUUCAAGUUAUCAUCUGGAAGUUAUGGAGGCUGCAUUAAGGUAGAGGACCAUGAUUUCAUGGAGACUAGUUCUUUGAAGACACUUAUAUCAAUAUUGAUUCAUAAAAGCUUUGCUUUUAAGAAGCUUUUUCCCUAUAGAACUAUUCUUGGUUCCAACAGUUCUUUUGGUGACUCAGGAGAAGAUAAUUAAAUGUUCAAGUUGAGUAAAUCCUUGUAUGAAGUAAACUAGACACCUAAGCAGCGGUAUGGAAAGUAUAAUAUCACAUUAGUGGAUAGUGAUUUUCUUGUCAAUUAAUCUUAUACCUAUGAUUAUUCCAAAAUGAAAGGCUAAAAUUGCGUGAUUAUAUGUAUAUGACUUGUUAAUUGUUGUCCAAAAAUGAAUUUUAUUGAUGAAACUAAGAACAUUUUGUCUACUAAGUUUCAAAUGGAAAAUCAUUAUGCAGUAGAUGU